UACAUGUUGAUGGUAACAGCUGUGUUGCGUAUAGUUAAUCUUUUUUUCUUUGAUUAUUGCGAUCUAAUCAGUGGCUUUAAAUGCUGUUCGUGCUAUCUGUGUUUCUGGAUUUACAAGUAGGACGCACGUGUUUGCUGAACAUACAGGACACCAUAUGAUUAAAAACUGCCUCCCUAUCUUGUCAUAAAUAACAGGUAUUUGCAUGAUUUUUACCAUUUUAUAAUCUGUAUGUCGUAUUUUUGGUAUUUUGUACAAGAGUACUAAGUAUUUUGAUCAUAGCGAUUACAGUGGUGUAAGUUACCGGAUCGCAGACGACCAUAGACUGUAAAAAAAAUAGAUCACGACCCACGGUUCGGCUCCCAUGCGAUUCGCGGAUUAAUAUCUAUACAAAGUUUGUCAUUUGCAUGUGUAUUAAAGUCUUGCAAAUGUUAACACUCAAGUGAUUUUUAAACAAUUUAACCACAAAAGUCUGUUUUUACUUUUUACAGUCUCGUUUUGUCACUCUGCAUCUUGUGGCUGAUAAGCUAUUGAAGAAGAGCUGUCCAUCACUUUAUGGACAUUCAAGUUAACAUAAGGUAUUGUAAACGCAAUGUUACCUAAUACUAUCAACUUAAUACUAGGGCUGUUCCGAAUACCAUUUUUUGAGCUUCGAAGCUCUAGUAGAAAUAAAAUCGAAUAUUCGAAGCUUCGGAAAGGAGGGGCUGAACAUAUUUUUCUCUUUAAUAAAGGCAGGAAUCUCUGUGUGUGUGUGUGUGUGUGUGUGUGUGUGUGUGUGUGUGUGUGUGUGUGUGUGUGUGUGUGUGUGUGUGUGUGUGUGUGUGUGUGUGUGUGUGUGUGUGUGUGUGUGUGUGUGUGUGUGUGUGUGUCUGUCUGUCUGUGUGUCUGUCUGUCUACAGUUUUAUUAUGUGGCGGAUGUGUUGCUGCGGACCAAAGGGAGUGUAGUGCCUUUUUUUGUGCAAUAUGGACAUGUGACACGUUUAGAAUUAGAAAACUUUAAAAAUACUACAGAACAGCGCAAGCCGGAAGCGGCGUGCCUGUCACGCGUCAUGCGAGAACAGCAUUAGUGAAACAAAACACAAGAGCAAUACUUUUAAUUAGGUAGACUAACAUUUUUUUAUUGACGUCUUGUGAAGCAAAUCAAUUAGUUUUUGCAAGAAACUGAACGUUAUUUACAACACUAUUAGCGUGAAUGCCAGAGGAGGAAGCGCGCUUUCCUUUCGAGGCGAUCUCUUCCUCUAGUGCCGUUUGGUGGCUGUUGGCUAUGGAUGUUGGUCUCUCUGCGCCACCUACAGAGCGGGAGCAUGAAGCGCACUUCCUGCUUGGCAAAAGCUCUGCAUUAACGCUGAAAAAUAUUUAUAUAUAUAUUCGAAUCUCAAAACUGAAAAUCGAAUGUCAACCCACUGAACGAAUAUUCGAAUAUUCGAAUUUUCUGGUACAGCCCUACUUAAUACAUUUACUGUAAACUGUGCAGUUCUUUACUCAUACAAUUUCAUGUUUUUUUUUCGUAAUCUGCUUUUAUUACUUUGUCUUGUUUUGUUACUCUGCAUCGUUGCGGCCGCCCAUCACUUUGACGACGUUCAAGUUAACAUAAGGUAUUGUAAAAACAAUGUUGGCCUAAUACUAUCAACUUAAUACAUUUACUGUAAACUGUGCAGUUCUUCACUCAUACAAUUUCAUGUUUUUUUUUCCUAAUCUGCUUUUAUUACUUUGUCUUGUUUGUUACUCUGCAUCUUUGCGGCCGCCCAUCACUUUGACGACGUUCAAGUUAACAUAAGUCCGCUUGCUAUUGAAGAAGAGCUGCCCAUCACUUUGACGACGUUCAAGUUAACAUAAGGUAUUGUAAAAGCAAUGUUGCCUAAUACUAUCAACUUAAUACAUUUACUGUAAACUGUGCAGUUCUUUACUCAUACAAUUUCAUGUUUUUUUUCUAGUCCGCUUGCUAUUGAAGAAGAGCUGCCCAUCACUUUGACGACGUUCAAGUUAACAUAAGGUAUUGUAAAAGCAAUGUUGCCUAAUACUAUCAACUUAAUACAUUUACUGUAAACUGUGCAGUUCUUCACUCAUACAAUUUCAUGUUUUUUUUCGUAAUCUGCUUUUAUUACUUUGUCUUGUUUGUUACUCUGCAUCUUUGCGGCCGCCCAUCACUUUGACGACGUUCAAGUUAACAUAAGUCCGCUUGCUAUUGAAGAAGAGCUGCCCAUCACUUUGACGACGUUCAAGUUAACAUAAGUCCGCUUGCUAUUGAAGAAGAGCUGCCCAUCACUUUGACGACGUUCAAGUUAACAUAAGCAGUUGGUGCAUUAAGAUACCUCUCAGAGUUAUUGUGUCAUCUCAAGAAAUAAGGUGUGUCACCCUAGAGAGUGUUCCUGAGUCAGUCAAGGAGCUAUGUGUGCAUCACUCUGGGCUUGCAAGAAAACUUUCUUCUACACUUUGAGGAUCCAGACUUUGGAAAUGAGCACUGCAAUUUCACCGAUAUUAAAGAUCUACCAUCAGAUCGAGUGACACUGAAAGUUUUGUUGACAGCUUCUGGUUCGGUUUCUGACUUUGCAUUACAAUUACUACUAGUGCCUCAUCAGUGGAAUGGCCUGAUCCUUUUGUUAUUCCUGAUUUCUCUCAUGAUGUUGAACUUCAGUUGAGCGCUGCAAAUGAUGCCUAUGCCAGGGAUGGAACAGUAAUGGUCAUUUCCAAUGGUGUUAAAUACUAGACAAACUAGCUGAUGUGAAAUGUUGACUGUUUCCAAGGUCCAUCGGUUUAUUUUGUAAAAGACUUUCUGGUAACACUUUAUUAUAAUGUUCAUUAGUUAACUUAGUUAACUGCAUUAGUUAACAUGAACUAAUGAUGAACUGCACAUGAAGUGCAGCAUUUAUUAAUCUUUAUUAAUGUUAAUUUCAACAAUUACUAAUACUUUAUUAAAAUUUGGUUAACGUUAGUUAAUGCACCGUGAAAUAACAUGAACAAACAAUGAACAGCUUUAUUUCUAUUAACUAACAUUAACAAAGAUGAAUAAAUACUGUAACAAAUGUAUUGCUCAUGGUUUGUUCAUGUUAGUAAAUACAUUAACUAAUGUUAAAUCAUGAACAUUAUAAUAAAGUGUUAUCGACUUUCUUAGCGACUGGGUAUUAACAAAAAAGGUUUGGGGAUAGUUAUAUUGCAUUAAUUGUUCUUUAAAAAAACUAACUCUAAAAUACGUGGCUUUUAAAAUAAUAAUAAUAAUUUGAAAAUGAACAGUGCAAAACUAUUUUUAUCAUAUUUGAGUUUUUAUCAGUAAAAGAAACAUUACACAUACCUGUAUUAUUGCAACUAUGGUGUUGAUUUCACAGUUUAAAAACAUUAAAGAAACCCAUAUAAUAUUUCAAUGAAAUUUGUUUUUAAUAAACAUUUGUAAAAUUCAUUUUUACCAAAAAUGCUUUUCCAAGCCAAUGUUACAAAUUGUUCUUGUGCAAAUAAAUAGUUUUCGAGCUAAUAAUUUGCAAGUUUAUUUCAGUGUGAGUAUUAUUAGUCAAGAUGAUGAAUUGAACUGUUAAUGAAACCUAGCUAGUUGUUUUAACUACAAGUAUGAAGUUGAAACAACAAAUGAUUAUUAAUCUAACCCCGUGUAAAACAUAACUCUUUGAGUUGAGAUCAAGUGAUAAAGUGAGUUUUAUUGAACUGAUGAUGUAACUUAGCUAGUUGUUUCAACUACGAGGAUGAAGUUGAAACAAUAAAUGAUUAUUAGUUUAACACCAUGUAAAACAUAUCUCUGUGAGUUGAAACAAAGCAUAUCUUCAAGUUCAUUCUACUUCGAUUUGUAAGGCAGCAGGUGAACUUUCGUUUCUAAGUUUAACCAACU